UAGGGAAUCUUCGGCAAUGGACGAAAGUCUGACCGAGCAACGCCGCGUGAGUGAAGAAGGUUUUCGGAUCGUAAAACUCUGUUGUUAGAGAAGAACAAGGACGUUAGUAACUGAACGUCCCCUGACGGUAUCUAACCAGAAAGCUACGGCUAACUACGUGCCAGCAGCCGCGGUAAUACGUAGGUGGCAAGCGUUGUCCGGAUUUAUUGGGCGUAAAGCGAGCGCAGGCGGUUUCUUAAGUCUGAUGUGAAAGCCCCCGGCUCAACCGGGGAGGGUCAUUGGAAACUGGGAGACUUGAGUGCAGAAGAGGAGGGUGGAAUUCCAUGUGUAGCGGUGAAAUGCGUAGAUAUAUGGAGGAACACCAGUGGGGAAGGCGGCUCUCUGGUCUGUAACUGACGCUGAGGCUCGAAGGAGUGGGGAGCAAACAGG
rnacentral:rRNA from 1 species